GGUGCCUUCGUCGGCAGCACAAAAAACUAAAACUAGAACAAAACAGAGAUUAGCGCGGCCCCAGCCAAGGAUGAGAUGCAGAUUCGUGAAGUGUUCCAUAUUAAC
rfam:Pteropus alecto contig64538, whole genome shotgun sequence.